UUCAUUCAGAGCACAUUCUCUUUUUAACCAGAUUCCCCGUAGCAUGGCCUAUUUCAAAAUGGAUUGGCAUAUUCCAUCUAUUAUUUGAAUUUAAAUAAAUGCUGGAUAAUGCUCAGGAAUAGUAGUUGUGAAAUGUUUUCUUUGAGGUAAGUUAGUCAAAAUUUCACUUUUCCUGGCAAAGUUAUCAAGUUGCUUAAAUGUUUGUAUGCUUAACUGUAUUUAUCAGAACAAAGUUCAUUUUCCAACAAAUGAAACCAAAGCCUCCUUUUAACUUCCAUCCUCUAACUUUCUUCUCUCUCAAAUGUGGUCACUUUUGUUUUUCAAGACCUCUUCUUCAUUCUCCUCUCCUGCCAAAAAACCUCUUGGAUUGAGUCCUACCUUGGCCGCCCACCAACUCUCAUCAAAGCUGGAAGUGUACUUGACGCACAUCCCAGCUGGAUGCCAAAUGGUCAAGGGUUGAAAUCAACAUUCGCUGACACCAAAUGUCACCAUUUUAUAACUAAUUACUGAGAUACAAGAAUAUGAAACUCAAUACAAAUGUUCUGGCUUAUGCACCAUCUAGAGACGUCUUCCCCGGCAACAUUAUAUAAAACAGCCCUCAUGAAUCACCCUUCGUCACGUUCCCCUGAGUUACCGAUUUCCUUCACUGCCCUUACUGACAUCUGAAUUUGAAUAAAUUCCAUCACAGCGGAGACCUGGCCUGACUUGUUAUUCAUUUAUAGACUAAUAGAUUCUUAUUUUGUUCCAUAAAUACCUGUAUAUAAUCUCCAACUAUCACUACUUAUUGUGUGGCUCAAAUUGUCCCAGAUCUGGCCAGGAUGUCACCCUGUCCUCACACCUCCAUCUGUUUGUUUUACUUUGUUUUUCUGUUUUCAGCACUUUACUUUCUGCCAUCACAAGAUGUCCCAGGUUCAUAGGUUUAUCUUGUACUUUUCUGCUCCAGCCCACAGAGCUCUAUUAUCCUUAAAGCCCUUUUCAUAGCCAAUAACUACAAUGACCAUGUGCUAGAUUAUAGACUAAAGUGAA